CCCUUAGAUGUUCUGGGCCGCACGCGCGCUACACUGAUGCAUUCAACGAGUCUAAAACCUGGUCUGAUAGGGCUGGGUAAUCUUUUGAAAGUGCAUCGUGAUUGGGAUAGAUGAUUGCAAUUCUUCAUCUUCAACGAGGAAUGCCUAGUAAACGCAAGUCAUCAGCUUGCAUUGAUUACGUCCCUGCCCUUUGUACACACCGCCCGUCGCUCCUACCGAUUGAAUGAUUUAGUGAGGACUUCGGACUGGGACCGAUGCGGCUUUCGGGCUGCGUCGGUAUUCUGGAAAGAUGUCCAAACUGUAUCAUUUAGAGGAAGUAAAAGUCGUAACA
rnacentral:rRNA from 1 species